CAAAAAGGGUAUAAAAGGCGUCAAGAUCGCGACGCUCAUUCUUGCACUCACCACUGACAGCGAGAGCCACGUUGCUCUGGUCCACCUGCUGCGCCGGCCGUACAACAGCGUGUAAACGUGACAAGCGUCUAGUUGCACUUUGGGCGUGCUUCCAUCUUGCAAGCUCAAAAGUUUGCAGAAGCUAGCGUUAGCAGUUAACAUCUCCAACGACCACCAAAACGCAUUUAUCUGGCGUGCAACCAAACAAUUUAAGAAUGCAACGGUGGCGACGUCUGGACGACAGCGCCGUUUGGCCGAAGGUGCAAACCCUCAAAACGAGCCUGUCAUGGCCGACUGACUUUGCAGGCCUGCAUCCGGAACCGAGGGAACAGGGUCCAAAAUGGCCACCUUGCAGUCCUCGCAUGGCUUCAUGGGACACUUGCAGACCAGCGAGCUGUAGUUGGAGAGACGUCCGGUGCUGCUCUCCAUUCAUCACUGGUGGGACCAAAGGACCAAGUUUCUGUAGCAUGGUGAAGAUCUACAUGGUUUUAAUCUUGUGGCAUCAUCAACCUCUUGUCCAGAGCACUUUCCAGUAAGGAUGCAGUUGGGACAUCUGCUACCUGCUGGCCAAAGAUAAAAGCCCUCCAAAGCCAUGCAGAGGUAGCCAUCCUGGAGAAUUUUUACAACAUUUCAGGAACUCUGCCUGUGAAACAGCGACUGGCUGCUUCCACUCUACAGUUGAAUAUAAAACCAGUAAGCUUAAAUGGAAUUGUUGUCAAUGUUCCUUUUUCUUUCCAGGCAGAGGUGGCAAAUCCAGGUCCAGAACGUGAAAGUCCUGCCAGUUUGUCUUCAGCCUCUGAGCUCGUUCACCUGGAUCUGUGCUGCCUGAAGAGCCCUCCGCUGUGUGGAGCACCAUCUACUCGUAGUGGAAGCUGAGGACAAGAGUAAAGCCGCUUACCAGCAGCACUUUGGUGUUCUUACUUACUCAGCUUUAAGGCAACCUGAGAAGAAGCAAAGAACAAAAUCAACUUCCUGAGUCAUGCAGCAAGGAAUAAAAUUGGCUUCCUGGUCAUGCAGCUUGCAGUACGCGGUGCCAUAAACAACUCAACUUGCGCACUGGUCCAGGCAAGGACUACCACUCUUCCCACCGACCGACCACUCGUCCCACCGGCCGACCACUCGUCCCACCGGCCGACCACUCGUCCCACCGGCCGACCACUCGUCCCACCGGCCGACCACUCGUCCCACCGGCCGACC